GGCAUACUCAGAGUGCUCAUCCAAGGUGUGCAGGAAUGCCCUGCAUGUGCCACAUUUGCAAACGACGCUAGAAAUAUGCUACACAAAUAUUAACAAAUCAGGCUUCAUUAUUUGGAGAAAACAGAUUUCCCUAUAGCAUGGAAAAUGCAAUGUGAGUAAACUUUACCAAAAGUGAACCUUGUAGAUGCACCAGAUUUCAUCACAUUCAAAACAGCCCAUCCUAUAAAGAAAUGUCAUUGGUUCAACUUCAGACAGGUUCUGAUUGGCUGUAAUUGUGUUGGUCUUUGCAGAUGGUUAAAAAACAGAAAUUGUGCACACAAUGCUCAGAUGAAUCAUGAUGACCAAGCUUGUGAUGUUGAAAUGACUGAUCCUGUGUAUGAGAAUGUAACUGAUGCUCAACAAGGCUCUAAUACCUGUAAACCUGAACCGAACUCUUCUGUGUAUGAAAAUAUUCCAAUGAAGAAGAUGAAGUAGUGUUUUGGACACACAGAACAGUUGAACAGCUUUUAUAAAUCACUUUGUGGGUGUAGGCCUGAAUGAUUGACAGGAGUGUCAUGGUAUGGCUGAAGUAAUUUGCAGAUCAUAUGG